UACAGAGGUCUCAAGCGUUGUUCGGAUUCAUUGGGCGUAAAGGGUGCGUAGGCGGCAGCGUGUGUCGGGCGUGAAAUCCCAUGGCUCAACCAUGGAAGUGCACCCGAAACUGCGCAGCUAGAGUCCUGGAGAGGAAGGUGGAAUACUUGGUGUAGAGGUGAAAUUCGUAGAUAUCAAGUGGAACACCGGUGGCGAAGGCGGCCUUCUGGACAGUGACUGACGCUGAGACGCGAAAGCGUGGGGAGCAAACAGG
rnacentral:rRNA from 1 species